GGCGGUUCUCAGGUGACGCACCCAGACUCAGGCUCCCUCCUCUCUGGUUCUGGGGGCAUCACCUGAGAACCAACA
rfam:Myotis davidii contig56934, whole genome shotgun sequence.